GACGAACGCUGGCGGCGCGCUUAACACAUGCAAGUCGAGCGAGAACCAGGGCUUCGGCCCUGGGGAAAGCGGCGAACGGGUGAGUAACACGUGAGUCAUCCACCCUCGGCACCGGGAUAGCCCGGGGAAACCCGGAUUAAUACCGGAUGGCCCGUCCGCCCUUCGGGGCGGCCGGAAAAGGUAGCUUCGGCCUCCGGCCGAGGACGAGCUCGCGGCGGAUUAGCUUGUUGGUGGGGUAACGGCCCACCAAGGCGACGAUCCGUAGCUGGUCUGAGAGGACGAUCAGCCACACUGGGACUGAGACACGGCCCAGACUCCUACGGGAGGCAGCAGUGGGGAAUCUUGCGCAAUGGGCGAAAGCCUGACGCAGCGACGCCGCGUGCGGGAAGAAGGCCUUCGGGUUGUAAACCGCUUUCAGGAGGGACGAAGCCACUCGGGUGAAUAGCCCAGAGGGUGACGGUACCUCCAGAAGAAGCCCCGGCUAACUACGUGCCAGCCGCCGCCGUAAAAC
rnacentral:rRNA from 1 species